AUUGAACGCUGGCGGCAGGCCUAACACAUGCAAGUCGAGCGGAUGAGUGGAGCUUGCUCCAUGAUUCAGCGGCGGACGGGUGAGUAAUGCCUAGGAAUCUGCCUGGUAGUGGGGGACAACGUUUCGAAAGGAACGCUAAUACCGCAUACGUCCUACGAGAGAAAGUGGGGGAUCUUCGGACCUCACGCUAUCAGAUGAGCCUAGGUCGGAUUAGAUAGUUGGUGAGGUAAAGGCUCACCAAGGCGACGAUCCGUAACUGGUCUGAGAGGAUGAUCAGUCACACUGGAACUGAGACACGGUCCAGACUCCUACGGGAGGCAGCAGUGGGGAAUAUUGGACAAUGGGCGAAAGCCUGAUCCAGCCAUGCCGCGUGUGUGAAGAAGGUCUUCGGAUUGUAAAGCACUUUAAGUUGGGAGGAAGGGCAGUAAGUUAAUACCUUGCUGUUUUGACGUUACCAACAGAAUAAGCACCGGCUAACUUCGUGCCAGCCGCCGCAGUAACAC
rnacentral:rRNA from 1 species